rnacentral:rRNA from 1 species
ACCGGCGCACGGGUGAGUAACACGUAUGGAACCUGCCCGUAGCAGGGGGAUAAGCGGAAGAAAUUCCGUCUAAUACCGCGUAAUAACUCCGAGAGGCAUCUCCUGGGGUUUAAAGGGUAACACCGGCUACGGAUGGCCAUGCGGCGCAUUAGCUAGUCGGCGGGGUAACGGCCCACCGAGGCGACGAUGUCUAGGGGUUCUGAGAGGAAGGUCCCCCACACUGGUACUGAGACACGGACCAGACUCCUACGGGAGGCAGCAGUGAGGAAUAUUGGUCAAUGGGCGGUAGCCUGAACCAGCCAAGUCGCGUGAGGGAAGACGGUCCUAUGGAUUGUAAACCUCUUUUGUCAGGGAGCAAUUCCCGCCACGUGUGGCGGGAGGGAGAGUACCUGAAGAAAAAGCAUCGGCUAACUCCGUGCCAGCAGCCGCGGUAAUACGGAGGAUGCGAGCGUUAUCCGGAUUUAUUGGGUUUAAAGGGUGCGUAGGCGGAGUGCCAAGUCAGCGGUAAAAAUUCGGGGCUCAACCCCGUCGUGCCGUUGAAACUGGCGCCCUUGAGUGGGCGAGAAGUAUGCGGAAUGCGUGGUGUAGCGGUGAAAUGCAUAGAUAUCACGCAGAACCCCGAUUGCGAAGGCAGCAUACCGGCGCCCGACUGACGCUNAAGCACGAAAGCGUGGGUAUCGAACAGGAUUAGAUACCCUGGUA